GUGGAGAAGGCACACAUAAUGCUCCUCGUUUACCAUGGCAUAGUCCAAAGGAGCUGAUUGUUUGUGUUUGGUUCUAAAUUCAAGAACUGACCAACGUUACCAAUAGGAAUAGCUUGAAUGACAAUUUUGAACUUCUACUUGAGAGAUAGAGGCUAGGCAGAUCCUGCUAGAGAGCUCAUUUAGAGAUUCAGAAAAGUAGAUAAAGUUAAAUUUUUAAAUUUAGAAUCCCAUUGCUUAAAAAGGCAGUCAUCUGUUAACUCCUCUUUGCCCUAAACUGUAUGAGAUCUCUCAAAUUUUACUUAUUUUAUUAAAAAAAAUAGAGUUUAUCAAUGAGGCAAUAAGACAAAAAUGAUCCUUGCUAGGCUUGGAGGCCCCCUCCCAGUAGAGGUGCCAGAGCUGCGGCGAAUGGCCUCCUGAAGGGAUAGUUCUUAAUGCCUGCAGAGAAGCACAGGGUCAGCAUGACCGCACUAGGAAGAGGUUGCUUUAUUGGGUUGCAAGACACCACAUGAAACAUGGCUCUUUUCCCUUGGUGGGGAGGCGUUCCUGGAGAGGGAACCAUAAACACCAAGAUUUGGAACAGAUUCCCUGCAAAACCAUUUAUUGCAACAACUUCAUGGCUUGGCUUUGGGAUCUCGUUUCCAGCCUAGUUCUUGUUCCCAUUCGUGCUGUUCUGUCCAAGUAAUUGGGUCAGGUCCUCACCAGGUGCUGGACACCCACAACUUGUAGAGACGGAGAUAGUAUGCAAUUAGUACCAGGCUCCCCUGCUGUCCUAUGUAUGGGAUGCACAUGUUUCAGCAAUGCAUUUGGAGGUCUGCCAGAGUCGCCAUAUGCCUGUCUCCGAAAUGUCUCAUCUUGUUCGACAGGGAAGCAGUUUGAUGCUGGGCCUUAGGCUGAAGGAGUCUUGUAAGAACAUUAUAGUUUAUUGGGACAAAAGCCAGAGCAGCUUUAGCCCAAAGCAGGAGUGUUCAGGCUGAGGGCCUCCCAGGGCUUCAUUUGCAGUAUCUUCUUUCUCCAGAAAGGCAGCAUUUCUUGGAGACUGUCAGAGAUAAAGCACAGGGAGGGAGCUCGUCUUUUCCCAGCUUCCCUUGUUUGGAGAGUAGAGAUGAAGGAAAGCAGGGGGCAAGAACUGCCAUCUCUUCUCUGGGAACAUAAACCAUAUUUCCACUGUCUCCCCAGUUCUCUCUUCUUUAGUUCUCUAGGAAAUGGGAGUGGGAUUCAAGGUCAAAGCACAGUGGGAGAAUGAGAAGAACUAAAAUUUGCUGAGUGUUCUGGGUGCUGAGUAACAUAUACGCUUUGUGAAAACCCAGCAAUGUUCUUGUGAGUGAGUUCAUCUCCAUCUCCUACAGGAGCCGGAACUGUGUCUCUGUCUUACUGACAUGCUGGCCCACAGCCACACAGAGGGUGGUCACAGGACCAGCAGUGGCACUUCUGUGCGGGAGAAGUCAAGGAUGAAUGGACCAAGGACGGAGGAAGGAGAACACUCUUUUGAGCACCUGGGCAGUGUCUGAAGGCGGUCAUUGGUUUCUCUCUCUCCUUUCUCUUUUCAGCCAUAAGACUGCAGGCCAGGCUGCACACACCUUCAAGGACACUUUUGAUUCUUAAUAGAUAGGAAUAGCUAUCCUUAAAGGUUUGGGUUUCAGGGUUCUUUUCCUUCAUAAAGUUUGUUGUAGAACCUUAAAUGGGUCAUAUUUACUGACCCUUAUUAAGGCAGAAAUGAAAAUAGAAAAAAAUUUAAAAUAUUUAUUAGUUCAUUUAGCAAUUAAUGCCACUCUCGCUACAUGUUAGACUGUGAGUACAUGGGGUGUGGGGAGUAGGUGUGGGGUUGUGGCUCUGGAGAUGGACCCCAGGGUCUUCUGCACGUCAGUGCAUUCACCACCGAGCUACAGCCCCAGCCUAUUAAGCAACAUAUUUUAAUUAAAAAGGCCGGUGUUUUCCAACACAAAAUAUUUAAUGAGUAGAGUAAUGAUUAUUUUUGCAGCCCUCUGCCUGUGUGGUGAAAUAGAAGACAUGGCAUUCUCUUACCUGCUUCUCAUCUGAUCUGCUACAACAUAAUGUAGUUAAAGUGUAUUUGAUAAAAGCAUCACAAAACUAUUUCAUCAGAAGAGGAAGCCUUUCCAGAUGGAACGGAAUCUGUGCUGAUCCUAAGUGACAUGAGAUACAGCAUUGAGUCUUCAGUGUCAAAGACACUGCCUGCAGAGGAAUGAUACCAGAGUGGGCAAGGAAAAAUUUCACCAAGGAAUAAAAGAAAAUGAUAAUGCGGAACAAGCCAAGGAAGUGAAGAGACAGGCAUCUAGUGUACGCUGCGUAUGCCCAUGUGGAUGGUGCCCUCCUGUGUUAACCUUUACCGUCUCUUGCCAUUGCAGCUCCCAAGGCGGGGUGGGCUUUGGUUGUUUUACAGAUGAUAAACUACAGACUCACGGAAGUGGAGGACUUUCCUAAAGUUACCCAGCUAAGAAGUGGUAGAGCCAGAACCAAAGUCCUCAAAGACAUUGGCUGCAUUAUACAUCAUACCCAGGGCAGUGGAAUAUAUAGUGUCAGCCCUCGGUGUCCACGGGUUCCUCAUUUCCAGUUGAAACCAACCAUGGAUUGAAAAUAUUUGAGGAAAAAAUUGUGCCUGUUGAACAUGCACAGACUUUUUCUCUUAUUGUUCUCUAACACUAGUAUGACAAUUAUCUACUUGGUAUUUACACGGUAUUAGGUACAUACUCUGAGAGUAGGUGAUGUAUAUGGUAGAACGUACUUAGGUUAUAUGCAAAUGCUACAUUAUUUUAUACAAGGGACUUAAGCAUCCAUGGGUCUUGGUACCCAUGGUGUCCUGGAACAAGUCCCUGCAAGAUGCCUGGGGAUGACUGCCCACACUGGUGCUGGAGGCUGUAGGCUGUAGGGAGACUGGUCCGUAGGCAUGUCCUGCAUAUGAGGUCCUAUUUUCUGCUGUCAGCUAUGGGGGGUGAGGUUGGAAAGGGUUAACAGAUGGUUUGCAGCUCCUUGGAGAACCCUGCUGAGCUUUGUACAGUAAAAUAAUAAAGUUCCAAUUUGGGAGCGAAUUUGCUACUGUGACACUAAUACCGCCCCAGGCUAUUAGAGGAUUAGAUGAGCACAAAGCUUUAUGAGCCAUGACUGUGGCGCUGGAGGGUGACUCAGCGUGUCGGGCGCUGGGAGGAUAGCUGUUAAUUGGAACUGCAGAGAAGGAGCCGGGUUUGGCAGAUCGAGUUUAAAUGGGUGGAUUGUCUGGCGGAGACUGUCUCUGUUCUCUCUUGGCUUUGGUUCAAUUGUACAGCCAGACUGUCCUCCCGGCUGCACUUUGCUUGAAGUGCUUUUCUUUUCAUUUCCUUUCUUUUCUCUUCUCAUCCUUUAUUCUGUCUCUCCCUGCCCGCUCCCUCACUUCUUUCUCUCCUUCCUUUCCGCCAGUUGAUGGGUGGCUCCAAUUUUCAUAUGAGAUUUGGCAAGUAAGAAGCUACAGCGGUGUCGCCAACUUUUAUCCUCUGCCCCUGUAAAAUCUCUGAAACCCUCCAACAAUUUUGACCUUAUUUCCUCCUGCAAUCAGCACAGUCUCAGCCUCUUUCCCCCUUGGCCAGAGAGCAGUCAUUGUCGGAUGGCAAGCUUAUCUCCAGGGCAGUCCAAUCCAGCAAGUGUUUAUUAGGUACCUUGUGAGAUGGAAUGAGCCAGGACGUGAUACCUGAAGGCCGGAGUUCAAGGACCACUUUUACUACCUGGAUAAAUAAGUUGAUUGCCUGAGCCUGACCUUCCUCCUUUGUAAAAUGAGGACUAUAGAAAUAAUAUUCAGCUGGUUGGCUGGCCGUUAGCCUGUGCAUUUAAAAGGCACCUAUGAAAUGAAGUAAUAAAAAUUCAAACAAACAAACAAAACCUGAAUAACUUCUCAACAUUUAUGAACAUCAAGAAUCACAGGUCCAUGAAUCUUGAAAGAAGUGUUUAAUUUCCUUCAGUUAGACAGCCUCUGUUUGUCUUUUAAAUUCAUCAGAUUGCGAUCUCUGCGUGGUCAUUUAUGUUCCAAAUAAUGUAGGCAGUGAGGGAGAUAGACAGAAUGCCCUGACCUUGGGGAGAUUAGUAUGACUUUGGAGAAAGUUACUUCAUUUCUCUGAGACUCAGUAUCUCUGGUUCUAAAAUCCAUUCCUGACUUAUGGGGCUAUUAUUAAAACUAGGGGUGUUAAUGCCCAUAAGAUGCCUUCCAUAGGAGCUGGUACACAGAAGGGGCCAUAACUCAUGGCUUUCGAUUUUUUCCCAUCUUCUCAUUUUUAUUGUUUGUUUCCUCCUUCUUUACUAGGUUCAGAAAGGAGGGUUUGGAAAGUACUCCUUGAAAAUGGCAGGAAUUAGUCAAGUUUCCUUCUCUCAUUAAAAAAAAAAAAAA